GGGUUGUGAGGUUAAGCGACUAAGCGUACACGGUGGAUGCCCUGGCAGUCAGAGGCGAUGAAGGACGUGCUAAUCUGCGAAAAGCGUCGGUAAGGUGAUAUGAACCGUUAUAGCCGGCGAUGUCCGAAUGGGGAAACCCAGUGCAAUUCGUUGCACUAUCGUUAACUGAAUACAUAGGUUAACGAGGCGAACCGGGGGAACUGAAACAUCUAAGUACCCCGAGGAAAAGAAAUCAACCGAGAUUCCCCCAGUAGCGGCGAGCGAACGGGGAGCAGCCCAGAGUCUGAAUCAGCUUGUGUGUUAGUGGAACGGUCUGGAAAGUCCGACGGUACAGGGUGAUAGUCCCGUACACCAAAAUGCACAGGCUGUGAACUCGAAGAGUAGGGCGGGACACGUGGUAUCCUGUCUGAAUAUGGGGGGACCAUCCUCCAAGGCUAAAUACUCCUGACUGACCGAUAGUGAACCAGUACCGUGAGGGAAAGGCGAAAAGAACCCCGGCGAGGGGAGUGAAAAAAAGAACCUGAAACCGUGUACGUACAAGCAGUGGGAGCACCUUCGGGUGUGACUGCGUACCUUUUGUAUAAUGGGUCAGCGACUUAUAUUUUGUAGCAAGGUUAACCGUAUAGGGGAGCCGCAGGGAAACCGAGUCUUAACUGGGCGUUAAGUUGCAGGGUAUAGACCCGAAACCCGGUGAUCUAGCCAUGGGCAGGUUGAAGGUUGGGUAACACUAACUGGAGGACCGAACCGACUAAUGUUGAAAAAUUAGCGGAUGACUUGUGGCUGGGGGAGAAAGGCCAAUCAAACCGGGAGAUAGCUGGUUCUCCCCGAAAGCUAUUUAGGUAGCGCCUCGUGAACUCAUCUUCGGGGGUAGAGCACUGUUUCGGCUAGGGGGUCAUCCCGACUUACCAACCCGAUGCAAACUACGAAUACCGAAGAAUGUUAUCACGGGAGACACACGGCGGGUGCUAACGUCCGUCGUGAAGAGGGAAACAACCCAGACCGCCAGCUAAGGUCCCAAAGUCAUGGUUAAGUGGGAAACGAUGUGGGAAGGCACAGACAGCCAGGAUGUUGGCUUAGAAGCAGCCAUCAUUUAAAGAAAGCGUAAUAGCUCACUGGUCGAGUCGGCCUGCGCGGAAGAUGUAACGGGGCUAAACCAUGCACCGAAGCUGCGGCAGCGACACUAUGUGUUGUUGGGUAGGGGAGCGUUCUGUAAGCCUGCGAAGGUGUGCUGUGAGGGUUGCUGGAGGUAUCAGAAGUGCGAAUGCUGACAUAAGUAACGAUAAAGCGGGUGAAAAGCCCGCUCGCCGGAAGACCAAGGGUUCCUGUCCAACGUUAAUCGGGGCAGGGUGAGUCGACCCCUAAGGCGAGGCCGAAAGGCGUAGUCGAUGGGAAACAGGUUAAUAUUCCUGUACUUGGUGUUACUGCGAAGGGGGGACGGAGAAGGCUAUGUUAGCCGGGCGACGGUUGUCCCGGUUUAAGCAUGUAGGCUGGUUGUCCAGGCAAAUCCGGAUAAUCAAGGCUGAGGUGUGAUGACGAGGCACUACGGUGCUGAAGUAACAAAUGCCCUGCUUCCAGGAAAAGCCUCUAAGCAUCAGGUAACAUCAAAUCGUACCCCAAACCGACACAGGUGGUCAGGUAGAGAAUACCAAGGCGCUUGAGAGAACUCGGGUGAAGGAACUAGGCAAAAUGGUGCCGUAACUUCGGGAGAAGGCACGCUGGUGUGUAGGUGAAGUCCCUGCGGAUGGAGCUGAGACCAGUCGAAGAUACCAGCUGGCUGCAACUGUUUAUUAAAAAAACACAGCACUGUGCAAACACGAAAGUGGACGUAUACGGUGUGACGCCUGCCCGGUGCCGGAAGGUUAAUUGAUGGGGUUAUCCGUAAGGAGAAGCUCUUGAUCGAAGCCCCGGUAAACGGCGGCCGUAACUAUAACGGUCCUAAGGUAGCGAAAUUCCUUGUCGGGUAAGUUCCGACCUGCACGAAUGGCGUAAUGAUGGCCAGGCUGUCUCCACCCGAGACUCAGUGAAAUUGAACUCGCUGUGAAGAUGCAGUGUACCCGCGGCAAGACGGAAAGACCCCGUGAACCUUUACUAUAGCUUGACACUGAACAUUGAGCAUUGAUGUGUAGGAUAGGUGGGAGGCUUUGAAGCGUGGACGCCAGUCUGCGUGGAGCCAACCUUGAAAUACCACCCUUUAAUGUUUGAUGUUCUAACGUUGGCCCCUUACCGGGGUUGCGGACAGUGUCUGGUGGGUAGUUUGACUGGGGCGGUCUCCUCCCAAAGCGUAACGGAGGAGCACGAAGGUUAGCUAAUCCUGGUCGGACAUCAGGAGGUUAGUGCAAUGGCAUAAGCUAGCUUGACUGCGAGCGUGACGGCGCGAGCAGGUGCGAAAGCAGGUCAUAGUGAUCCGGUGGUUCUGAAUGGAAGGGCCAUCGCUCAACGGAUAAAAGGUACUCCGGGGAUAACAGGCUGAUACCGCCCAAGAGUUCAUAUCGACGGCGGUGUUUGGCACCUCGAUGUCGGCUCAUCACAUCCCGGGGCUGAAGUAGGUCCCAAAGGGUAUGGCUGUUCGCCAUUUAAAGUGGUACGCGAGCUGGGUUUAGAACGUCGUGAGACAGUUCGGUCCCUAUCUGCCGUGGGCGCUGGAGAAUUGAGGGGGGCUGCUCCUAGUACGAGAGGACCGGAGUGGACGCAUCACUGGUGUUCGGGUUGUCAUGCCAAUGGCACUGCCCGGUAGCUAAAUGCGGAAGAGAUAAGUGCUGAAAGCAUCUAAGCACGAAACUUGCCCCGAGAUGAGUUCUCCCUGAGACUUUAAGUCUCCUGAAGGAACGUUGAAGACGACGACGUUGAUAGGCCGGGUGUGUAAGCGCAGCGAUGCGUUGAGCUAACCGGUACUAAUGAACCGUGAGGCUUAACCUUACAACGCCGAAG
rnacentral:rRNA from 1 species